rnacentral:tRNA from 1 species
GCGCCUGUAGCUCAGGGGAUAGAGCGUCCGGUUGCGGUCCGGGAGGUCACAGGUUCGAUUCCUGUCAGGCGCACCA